UAAGGCAAGAGAACAUUUAUGAUCAAACUAAUACAUAUGUUAUCCAUAUAUGGAUCAAAACGUGUUUCAAUUACAAAAAGUUCUCGAGGUGGCAUGACAAUUUUGCAUUUACCCCCUUGCCGCCCUUACAGAGAGCGGAAAGGGCCUAAAAAGGCCCGAUGUGCCGUUGCCGGCCAUCCCUCCCGGCCGGGUGGCCGUUUCCCAUGUCAGCAUUCCGCUCUUUCAGAGGACGGCAGGAGAUCACCCCGCGGUCGAUUCAGCUAGCUCCGCGGCCGCGUGCGCGGGAUCACGAAAAAAAUAUCCAAUUGGUGCGUAUGAGAUUACGAGAGGAGUAAGAAGGAGGAGAAGAGAAGAAGGUGGACUUACGUCGCAGGACUUCGGCACGACGAGGAGGUGGCGCAGGCCGACCUCGCGGAAGAGGACGAGCGCCUUGGCCAGCGAC